GUGCUCACUACAGCAGCGCAAAUACUAAAAUUAGAAUGUUAAAAGAAGAUUAGCAAGGUCCCUGAGCAAGGAUGGCAUGCACAUUCAUCAAUUGUCUUGUAUAUUU
ensembl:snRNA U6 U6 spliceosomal RNA